rnacentral:snRNA from 1 species
GGAUGUGAGGGCAAUCCGGCUGUGACAUCUGUCAACUAAUUGAUCACCAGGGCUGAUUUGGCUAAACUGGUUAGUUAGGCAAAUGUCCCCUUCCUCUCUUACUGCUCCAUGUACAUCCCUCCUGAAUCUGUGCACUUGGUUGAAGAGGACCACCAUGUCUGUUAGAGGAGGAUCAUUCUUCAGCCGAGUGUUUAAGAGUAGCUGUACUCUUCCUUUUAGAACCUCCAAACAAGCCCUCAACGUAUGCACUGAAAAGCCUGGGAGCUUAAAUAAAGACCCGUUACAGGGGCAGAGCCAACAAGAGCCUUCCCU